rnacentral:tRNA from 1 species
CGCGGGGUGGAGCAGUGGUAGCUCGUCGGGCUCAUAACCCGAAGGCCAUAGGUUCGAAUCCGAUCCCCGCUACCA